AUGAGCAGGAGAGAAGGAGGAUCAGAGAGGAGCUGCAGGGGUCCACAUUCUUGCAACUCAGGCUGUCUUCUGGUCUUCGAAAGGUCCUUUUUGGCACGGCUCUUGGUACGGUCGCCCUAGCCCUGGCUGCACACCAGCUAAAACGGCACAAGCACAAGAAGAAGCAGAUUACAGCAGGCAAUGGAGGCCUAAAGCUCGGCGGGGUGCCUGGCUCUGUUUUGCCCGUUAGGCGUUCUUCCUCAGCUAAAAAAGUCCACAUUCUUGCAACUCAGGCUGUCUUCUGGUCUUCGAAAGGUCCUUUUUGGCACGGCUCUUAGUACGGUCGCCCUAGCCCUGGCUGCACACCAGCUAAAACGGCACAAGCACAAGAAGAAGCAGAUUACAGCAGGCAAUGGAGGCCUAAAGCUCGGCGGGGUGCCUGGCUCUGUUUUGCCCGUUAGGCGUUCUUCCUCAGCUAAAAAAGUUAAACAUAAAAUGCUUCUAGUCAUCUAUACUUGGGGACGCUGGGAAUCAGAAAGCAGAUUGUUGUCAGAGAUGGACUUGGAGUACUCCUGAGUGAGAUGCCUGCUGCCCAUUUGGAGGCUGCAAAUCUCUGCCGGACUCUGCUCCCUACAGUGUGGAUGGUGAGUCGCGGUAUCCGGCAGGAGGACUGGUGUGACGUACUUAAGGCUUUUCAGCUCACAGGGAAAUUCAGUGAGACUUCCGGAAGCUUUCUCUGUUGGUUCCAAGUUCCGGCCUCUGCCUUGUAUUGUGAAAAAGAAGAAAUCAGUAGAAGGAGGGUCAGAUUGGAGGGGGUUCUCUGGCCUCUGCUGCAGCCACCGCCCCACAUUCAUCCUAACAACCUUGGGCAGAAAACCAGAAAAAUACAGUUACCAGAAAAGGUAAAAAGCAACUCAGACACAGGGGGAAGAUAGAAUCUCCUAGAGCUCCAUGAGGCGUGAGAACCUUGCUUCUGGGGCAGCAUUGCUGAGGCGGGGCAAUGACCAGACGUUGGACCUUCAUGGAGCGACUCGGUCAAAGGUUGAACCUUUUGAGAGGAGCUUGAACUGAUAAUUCUGACUGGCUGAAAAGCACUGCCCUAAGUCUUUCAGGCAUUUCUGGAGUUAAUGGACUGCGUAUACCCCAUUUUCCAGCAACAAUUUGGCAUGUGUGGAGUUAAUGGAAUGCUUAUUGCCCUUUU